rnacentral:rRNA from 1 species
UUGCGGUUAAAAAGCUCGUAGUUGGAUUUCUGUUGAGGGUGGCCGGUCCACUCUUCGAGUGAGUAUCUGGCUCAGCCUCGGCAUCCUCUUGGGGAACAUCACUGCGCUUUACUGCGUGGGGUGGUAUUCAAGACCUUUACUUUGAGGAAAUUAGAGUGUUCACUGCAAGCGUUAGCUAUUGAAUACAUUAGCAUGGAAUAAUAAUAUAGGACCUUGGUACUAUUUUGUUGGUUUCUAGAACUAGGGUAAUGAUUAAUAGGGACAAUUGGGGGCAUUCGUAUUAACGCGUCAGAGGUGGAAUUCUUAGAUUGCGUUACGACGAACUACUGCGAAAGCAUUUGCCAAGGAUGUUUUCAUUGAUCAAGAACGAAAGUAUGGGGAUCGAAGACGAUUAGAUACCGUCGUAGUCUAUACCAUAAACUAUGCCAACUAGAGAUUGGAGGUCGUUCUUUUUAUGACUCCUUCAGCACCUUAUGAGAAAUCAAAGUCUUUGGGUUCCGGGGGGAGUAUGGUC